UCGCCAGUAGAGUAAUUAUUGCUGGUAGUGCCUGCUCAAUGCCCAAGGGGUAAAUAGCCGCUGUAUUAUGACGGUGCUAAGGUAGCGAAAUUCCUAGCCUCUUAAUUAGAGGCCUGCAUGAAUGGCUUGACGAGCGCCUUGCUGUCUCUUUUCCAUGGUUUUUGAAAUUAACUUUUGUGUGCAAAGGCACAAAUGGCUGAGUUAGACGAAAAGACCCUGUGCAUCUUUACCGGGGUAAAAGCAAAUUUUUUCACCCGGUUUAGCUGGGGCAGCUGAGGAAAAGUUAAAAUUUCCUUAUUAUUUUUUUUACUGGUGGGUUCAGAUCCAGUGUUGACGAAAGUGGCACUGAUAAGUAGAAAAGUUACGCCAGGGAUAACAGCGUUAUCCUCCUGUGGAGGCCUUAUUUGCGGGAGGGAUUGCGACCUCGAUGUUGAAUUAGGGAUAUAUCAAGAAGGCGCAGAAGCUUUCGUUGUAGGUCUGUUCGACCUUUAAAACCCUACGUGAUCUGAGUUCAGACC
rnacentral:rRNA from 1 species